UGGGGAAUAUUGCACAAUGGGCGCAAGCCUGAUGCAGCCAUGCCGCGUGUAUGAAGAAGGCCUUCGGGUUGUAAAGUACUUUCAGUCGGGAGGAAGGUGGUAAGGUUAAUAACCUUAUCAAUUGACGUUACCGACAGAAGAAGCACCGGCUAACUCCGUGCCAGCAGCCGCGGUAAUACGGAGGGUGCAAGCGUUAAUCGGAAUUACUGGGCGUAAAGCGCACGCAGGCGGUUUGUUAAGUCAGAUGUGAAAUCCCCGGGCUCAACCUGGGAACUGCAUCUGAUACUGGCAAGCUUGAGUCUCGUAGAGGGGGGUAGAAUUCCAGGUGUAGCGGUGAAAUGCGUAGAGAUCUGGAGGAAUACCGGUGGCGAAGGCGGCCCCCUGGACGAAGACUGACGCUCAGGUGCGAAAGCGUGGGGAGCAAACAGG
rnacentral:rRNA from 1 species